rnacentral:miRNA from 1 species
AUCAUUCGUGGGUAAUCUACAC